UAACGAUGAAGAGUUUGAUCCUGGCUCAGGAUGAACGCUAGCGGCAGGCUUAACACAUGCAAGUCGAGGGGUAACAGGGUGCUUGCACCGCUGACGACCGGCGCACGGGUGCGUAACGCGUAUACAAUCUACCUUUUACAGGGGCAUAGCCCGGGGAAACCCGGAUUAAUAUCCCAUGGUAUCAUUGGA
rnacentral:rRNA from 1 species